GCGGGAGUAGCGCAAUGGUAGCGCAUCUGCCUUCCAAGCAGAUGGUUGCGAGUUCGAGUCUCGUCUCCCGCUCCA
rnacentral:tRNA from 3 species